AGGGCAGGGUAUAUCUGGAGGUGUUCAAGUAAUCCAAGAGUCUUGAAGCCCUCCGCAAACCUGCAGGACAGGAAUAUCCCUAUUAGGAGCCAUGAAUGAAUUUAGAAGGUGAAAGUUACGAAACAUUUUUUUGGAUCUCAGAAUCUUUUUGGUAGCGCGUCAGACAAAGCAUCCAGGACACACAAUUUCAUGAUCAGAUGGAGUGUCAGGAUGCGUGGGGGGUUGGGACCCAAACGCAGAGGGUGGGAAAAAAUACAAAACUCCAAAUGAAAGAACAAGAAGACUUUACUUGAAACAAGGAAACAAAGGGAACAGAAGGGAACAAAAAACUUUGCAGGGCGGCCUUCAACAACGAAGGGAAUACAACCAAACGCAGGAACAAAGAAAAUCCAAAAAAUACAAACACGAGGAAACCAGAACAUGGACAGGGACGCAUGGAGCAGGUACUUGAGGAGGGGAGCACAGAACAACCAGACAUAACCACAAGGAUCCAGCACCUGAGUCAAGGGAGGGGGAAACUUAAAUAGACAGACACUGACGCGACACAGGAGGGCACCAUGAACAAUCAGGCCACGGAAGGGGAAGGGAAAACGAGACAGCCAGAACCAAUAAUAGGACAAUUGAAAACAAUCAUACAAUUAACACAGGGGGAGCAGGACACAAAACAGAGGUGCCGCCAUCUGGCGGCCCAACAGGGAAAACGCAGACAGGCACACAGGACCAUGACAUGGAGACCCAACAUUUGCAUUUUGCUGCAACCUAUUAUUUAUUCUUUUUUAGUUUGCUUUGAUUUAAUCAUUUGAAUUAUCAUGUGAUUGAAUUAAGAAGUUACAAUUACAACUUAAGUCAUACAUCACUUCUGGAAUGCUUAUUUUUUUAAACACAAUAUGAAUGGAAUAUUUUGGAGUGCUUAAUUCUUUUGGUGAUGUGCUCCUCUAAUUGAAGGUGUCUGAUGCAAAAUUAUAUAGAUUUUGCAAUUUCCUUUGUGAUUGUAAACAGACAUUUUAAUUAUGAAUAAAUACUUUGACAUUC